rnacentral:lncRNA from 1 species
UUUAUUAAAUUUCAAAACUUUUGAACUUGGAUAUCAGAUCUUUAAUCUUUUGGAGGUACUUCAUCAUGUUCUCCUCACGAGCCUCGUAAUUGCCUUGGAUAUGUCCAACGACCAAUUAAGAGUUAAUGUGGGCUUUUAGAUCUUUUAUUUUCAAUUCCUUGAUAAUUCUAAGGCCUACUGCCAAGGUUUCGUAUUCAGCUUCAUUGUUCGUCACUGAAAAUUCAAAGUGUAAGGCAUACUCGACAACCCUGUCUUUUGGACCUGAAAGAAUCAAUCUUGUCCUCGAUCCAGUCGGGCUGGAGGAUCCAUCCACAUGUAGCACCCAAGCAUCAGGGCC